rnacentral:misc_RNA from 1 species
UGUAGGAGCUGGCUUGCCUGCGAUAGCGGUGGGUCAGUCAGUACAUGUGUUGGCUGACCCACCGCUAUCGCAGGCAAGCCAGCUCCCACA